CAAAAAAAAAAGGAAAACCGUGCCCAGCGUAUUGUCAUGACACUAAGGAAAUAUAGGAACAGACACAAGCAUGCCUUUAGAUAUAUGUAUUUAAAUUCCAAAUACAAUCGGGACAUAAAACUAAUACUAUAUACAUAUAGGUACAAAUUAUACCUUAAACACAGACGGACAGAUGAUCAUUUUACAUUAAUGCUAUACUCGAUGCACUUGGAUGGAUGUACUCCUUUCCUAGUCUCUCGUUCUCCUUAGCUCGACGCUACCACUUUCUCUCCACAAAAUUCAACACAUGUCCUUGAAAUCCGACACACUCGAGACUGGUCCGAAAGAAGCCCCUUUCAAAAGCCUCGCUAGUCUAUAUAUAGCCUCACCACACGCCGGUGCUGCCCUCCCGUGGGCGAAAGUGUCACCCC
rnacentral:lncRNA from 1 species